rnacentral:rRNA from 1 species
CCUACGGGGGGCAGCAGUGAGGAAUAUUGGUCAAUGGACGAGAGUCUGAACCAGCCAAGUAGCGUGAAGGAUGACUGCCCUAUGGGUUGUAAACUUCUUUUAUAUGGGAAUAAAACGUUCCACGUGUGGGAUUUUGUAUGUACCAUAUGAAUAAGGAUCGGCUAACUCCGUGCCAGCAGCCGCGGUAAUACGGAGGAUCCGAGCGUUAUCCGGAUUUAUUGGGUUUAAAGGAAGCGUAGGUGGAUUGUUAAGUCAGUUGUGAAAGUUUGCGGCUCAACCGUAAAAUUGCAGUUGAAACUGGCAGUCUUGAGUACAGUAGAGGUGGGCGGAAUUCGUGGUGUAGCGGUGAAAUGCUUAGAGAUCACGAAGAACUCCGAUUGCGAAGGCAGUUCACUGGACUGCAACUGACACUGAGGCUCGAAAGUGUGGGUAUCAAACAGGAUUAGAUACCCCUGUAGUC